UACGUAGGGUGCAAGCGUUGUCCGGAAUUAUUGGGCGUAAAGAGCUCGUAGGCGGUCUGUCGCGUCUGCUGUGAAAACUCAGGGCUUAACCCUGAGCUUGCAGUGGGUACGGGCAGACUAGAGUGCGGUAGGGGAGACUGGAAUUCCUGGUGUAGCGGUGAAAUGCGCAGAUAUCAAGAGGAACACCUGAGGUGAAGACGGGUUGCUGGGCCGACACUGACGCUGAGUGCGCGAAAGCCAGGGGAGCAAACGGG
rnacentral:rRNA from 1 species